rnacentral:lncRNA from 1 species
CAUGGGUCCUGGAGCCAGGAGCUGGAGGAGCAGGCGAAGGCUCUCAUGUCACAGCAGUGACCCUGGGCUGUGCCUCCUGUCCUGACUCAGAGCUGGCUGGUCUGCAGUGUGGUACUCAGGGGAGGACACUGCCAGCCCAGGGACCUGGGAGCUGCGGCUGUGCCAGCAGGUGCACUGACGGUGGGUAAUUCUGGCAUCUACUCCAGGCUGCAGACACUGGGCAGAACCUCGCCAGAACUCAAGGAGGUGGACGUGCCCCAGGGGACUGUGGUCCCAGUCACCUCCUGCCGCCAUGACCAAAGGCCUGGGUGGUCCUCUGAUGGGAAGGAAGUGUUUUUAUUGACCCUCAGACAGCUGCGCUGUGCCAGGCAGGGCUCCCUGGAACCAUGGGUGUGAGUGAAGGAAGAAUUGUGGCUGCCACAGGGCCAGAGUGUGGCCCCUGCUUCCUGCAGGAACUGCCCUCACCCGACCCACAUGGUUCUGUAGAGCCACCACCCACCGCCAGUGCAGGAGUGAGCUCGGGACCCAGGCCUGGACGAUCACAGAGCGCUGACCCCUGGCCCAGGGAGCAAGCUCUUUCCUGGACGAGGAGUGAGAAACCUGUGCCCCCCUGGGUACCCAAGCUGGGACGGGUGACCUGGCCCUGUCUGGGUCAUGCACCAUACCUCUGCCACGCGGAGGAAAUGUGUGGAGAAAAAGAAGCCAGCACACAGAGAGAAGCAAAGCCGAGCAACGAGAGAAACUCGAGGAGACAGACAGAAAUGGAUGCACCUCUGACAUUUGAGUCCUCGGAGGCCCAGAAACCAGCGCAGCCCUUGGCCGUUCAGGUGGUAACUUCAGCUGAGCGAGUGUGAGUUGGGAUUCAAUCAGUUGUAACCAGAAGGAUCUGGGUGUGCCGGCCCUGGCAGUCAGGUGCCCCGAUGCCACCGUUUCACAGAACCACUUGUGACAGUCCACGCGCCAGAGGACUGGGUCCUCUGGAUCUCUGUCCCAGGGUCCCGCGAACACUCCCGAGGGGGUGGGACCAACGGAGGCCUG